CCGAGUGCAUCAUCACCACUGAAAGCCCUCAAAAAUUGAUAUUAUUAUA
ensembl:ncRNA Y48G8AR.4 ncRNA